rnacentral:sRNA from 1 species
UCAAUGAGGAUAGCACGAGUCUUGACGUCAACCUCCGGAUGUUUGUGAAGGUACUUUCUCACUCGAAAGUGAACUUCUCGGUGUCUGUAGUAGUCAAAAAUCCCUUGAGCAUAGUCCGAGAUACUGUCCGGGUUUCCGGCCUCCUCGAGGUCGUAAUCG